rnacentral:lncRNA from 1 species
GGAAUCCAAUUGAAGUUAUUAUAGGAAUUGAAAAGUCGGGAAAUAUAACCAAUUUAUAUAGUAUUAGCCUGUUAGGCUGUGUAGUUCUCUUUUUUAUUUUGCAAAUGCAUGCCUUGUUAUACUUGCACUAUUGUUAAUAUACCCAAAAAAAUCAAAAUUAACAAGAUGGGAGUGAAAAUUGUUUAUUUUAUCAUUUAAUCCUAACUUCUCACCCUAUCUAAUGCUUCCUCAUCUCACCUGACACUAAGGCAAGUUAGCAUCCCUUCACCAGCAGCUUUCCAGCUCUCAACAGGAACUGUCUGCUCCUCCACUUGUCUGUUGCUAAGCAAAGGCCCUCCAGCAGCCCUUCAGCAGUUGUCCGACAGUCAACAGCCAUCCAAUAGCAGCAUCUAUUUUUCUUAUUCUUCCUCCUCUUGAGGCUCUUACCUUCAUCAUUUUCUCUUUUCUUAUUUUAUUUUAUUAUUUUCUUGUCUUAUUCUUCUUCUUCUUUUCUUUUUUCUUUUAAAUUGUGCUUUUCUCUUCCUCCUCUUCCUUUUCCCCUUCCAUUAUGAA